rnacentral:rRNA from 1 species
UACGAAGGGGGCUAGCGUUGCUCGGAAUCACUGGGCGUAAAGCGCACGUAGGCGGCUUGUUAAGUCAGUGGUGAAAUCCUGGAGCUCAACUCCAGAACUGCCUUUGAUACUGGCGAUCUUGAGUCCGGGAGAGGUGAGUGGAACUGCGAGUGUAGAGGUGAAAUUCGUAGAUAUUCGCAAGAACACCAGUGGCGAAGGCGGCUCACUGGCCCGGUACUGACGCUGAGGUGCGAAAGCGUGGGGAGCAAACAGG